UACGAAGGGGCUAGCGUUGCUCGGAAUCACUGGGCGUAAAGGGUGCGUAGGCGGGUCUUUAAGUCAGGGUGAAUCCGUGGAGCUCAACUCCAGAACUGCCUUUGAUACUGAGGAUCUUGAGUUCGGGAGAGGUGAGUGGAACUGCGAGUGUAGAGGUGAAAUUCGUAGAUAUUCGCAAGAACACCAGUGGCGAAGGCGGCUCACUGGCCCGAUACUGACGCUGAGGCACGAAAGCGUGGGAGCAACAGG
rnacentral:rRNA from 1 species